GAGUUUGAUCAUGGCUCAGAACGAACGCUGGCGGCAGGCUUAACACAUGCAAGUCGAGCGCGUGUAGCAAUACACGAGCGGCGCACGGGUGAGUAACGCGUGGAUAUCUGCCUUUUGGUUCGGAAUAACCCCGGGAAACUGGGGCUAAUACCGAAUGGUUCCUACGGGAUAAAGAUUUAUCGCCAAAAGAUGAGUCCGCGUCCGAUUAGCUAGUUGGUGAGGUAACGGCUCACCAAGGCGACGAUCGGUAGCUGGUCUGAGAGGACGAUCAGCCACACUGGGACUGAGACACGGCCCAGACUCCUACGGGAGGCAGCAGUGGGGAAUAUUGGACAAUGGGGGCAACCCUGAUCCAGCCAUGCCGCGUGAGUGAUGAAGGCCUUC
rnacentral:rRNA from 1 species